CGCUGCGCCAUGUGUGCGCGUGCCAUGCGGCGUGCGCGCCCGCCAGCGCGUGCGCGAUGCCGGCCGGCGCGAACGCGUCGAGCCCGAGCUGCACGCCGAGCAGGUUCUGCGGAUCGAAAUCGAGCGCGACGACGGGCCGGCCGUCGCGCGCGAGCAGCGCCGCGAGCGCCGCCGUCAGCAUCGUGCGGCCCGCGCCGCCCGUCGUCGAAACGAUCGCGAUCGUCCUCAUCGCCCGUCCCGCCGUUCGCGCCGCGCGGCCGAGGGCAGCAACCGGGCAUGCAAUGCGACCGGCUCGAUCGCGCAGCGAACCGGGUCGCUGCGAUCGAAGCCGCUCGGCAACGGCAGCCCGCGGCCCGCGCCGCCGCGCGACGCGGCAAACCGGAUCGCCACGGCGAUCACGAUGCCGGCGAAAAAGCCGGCGAUCAUCAGCGAAAUCAUUCAGCCUCCCUGGGGCGCAACGGCAUCGCGUCGCGCGUGGCGGUGCGGGUGCGCACGCCGGCGACCGCGCCGGCGUCGUGCGGUCGGCGCGGUCGCGGCGCGCGCGGCGUCGCGGACAGCGGCGCGUGCGAUACGUUCGACGGCGCCUGCGGCGGCGGUACGACGAUCUGCGCCGAGGCGGGCGAUGUCCGCGAGGUCUGCGAUGCGGACGACAGCGCGAACGCCGAGCACCACGGUGGUCCGUGCGCCGCGGCGCGCGUGCCCGGCGGCGUCGGCGCGCCCGACACAUGCGGCGCAUGCGGCGGCACAUGCGGCGACAUAGGCUCGGCGGACGGUUCGCCGUCGCGCGCCGCCGCCGGAGCGCCGGCCGAGGCGCGCGCGCCGGCCGCGCGCGUCGCCACCGCCGCCGGCGAAAAGAGAUCGCUGUAAUCCGCGAUCGGCGCACGCCGGUUCGCCGCGUCGAGCGCAUUCAGCUCAUGCUCGAUGCUGUCCUGCGCGAGAUGCACGACGCGAUCCGAGAUCCGCUCGACAGGCACGUCGAAGAGGUGGCCGAGCACGUCGUUCGCAUCGGCGAGCUCGCAGGCGAACAGGAACAGAUACAGGUGCUGCGCGUCGGCGGUCAGCACGUCGCCCGCGCGGCGCGGCGUGCACGCGCGCAACGCGUGCGCGUGCGCGACGCCGGGCAGCAGCGUCAGCUUCACGAGCGUAUGCGACAGCGCGAGCACCGCGCUGCGCUCGAGCACCGCGCGCGCCUGCGAGCAGAACGCGCCGACGGGCAGAUAGCCGAGCGCCGUGUCGCCGAGCGACGCGGCGAGCGCGGCCCGAUAGUCGGCCGCGACCGGGCGCGCGUGCAACUGGCCCUGCAGCGAGCGCAGCACCGCGAGCACGCGCGAGAACGGCAGGUUGCGCGCGACGACCUGGUUCGCGCCGAGGUUCAGCGCGAGCAGCUCGAAUUGAUGGCGCAUCGCCUCGCCGCGCUCGACGACGACGAUCUUCAGCGCGCCGCCG
rnacentral:rRNA from 1 species